GUGCUCACUGUGGCAGCACAUAUACUAAAAUUGGGACAAUAUAGAUUAGCAUGGCCCCUGUGCAAGAAUGACUUGCAAAUUUAUAAGCAUUCCAUAUUUUU
ensembl:snRNA U6 U6 spliceosomal RNA